rnacentral:rRNA from 1 species
UACGAAGGGGGCUAGCGUUGUUCGGAUUUACUGGGCGUAAAGCGCACGUAGGCGGAUCCUUAAGUCAGGGGUGAAAUCCCGGGGCUCAACCUCGGAACUGCCUUUGAUACUGGGGAUCUCGAGUCCGGGAGAGGUGAGCGGAACUGCGAGUGUAGAGGUGAAAUUCGUAGAUAUUCGCAAGAACACCAGUGGCGAAGGCGGCUCACUGGCCCGGUACUGACGCUGAGGUGCGAAAGCGUGGGGAGCAACAGG